rnacentral:rRNA from 1 species
UACGGAGGGUGCGAACGUUAAUCGGAAUCACUGGGCGUAAAGCGCGCGUAGGCGGUCCGUUAAGUGGGAUGUGAAAUCCCCGGGCUUAACCUGGGAACUGCGUCGGAUACUGGAUGGCUUGAAUUCGGGAGAGGGAUGCAGAAUUCCAGGUGUAGCGGUGAAAUGCGUAGAUAUCUGGAGGAAUACCGGUGGCGAAGGCGGCAUCCUGGACCGACAUUGACGCUGAGGAGCGAAAGCUAGGGGAGCAAACGGG